rnacentral:rRNA from 1 species
UACGUAGGGGGCAAGCGUUAUCCGGAUUUACUGGGUGUAAAGGGAGCGUAGACGGCAGUGCAAGUCUGAAGUGAAAGGCAAGGGCUCAACCCUUGGACUGCUUUGGAAACUGUGCUGCUGGAGUGUCGGAGAGGCAAGUGGAAUUCCCAGUGUAGCGGUGUAAUGCGUAGAUAUUAGGAGGAACACCAGUGGCGAAGGCGGCUUGCUGGACGAUGACUGACGUUGAGGCUCGAAAGCGUGGGGAGCAAACAGG